UACAGAGGGUGCGAGCGUUAAUCGGAAUUACUGGGCGUAAAGCGCGCGUAGGCGGCUUUGCAAGUCGGGUGUGAAAUCCCCAGGCUUAACCGGGGAACUGCGUCUGAUACUGGAUGGCUUGAGUUCGGGAGAGGGAUGCGGAAUUCCAGGUGUAGCGGUGAAAUGCGUAGAUAUCUGGAGGAACACCGGUGGCGAAGGCGGCAUCCUGGACCGACACUGACACUGAGGAGCGAAAGCCAGGGGAGCAAACGGG
rnacentral:rRNA from 1 species